UGUAGUCUAGUUGGUUAGGAUAUUCGGCUCUCACCCGAAAGACCCGGGUUCGAGUCCCGGC
rnacentral:ncRNA from 13 species